GCUGUACAUGCUUCUAUGAACAAACACGUAAAAGACGGAAAAUCCCAGGAAAUAUCUCUUUCUUUCCCGGUCGGCACAGAGGUGACAAGGGCCAGGCCGGGCAGCCUCUGCUGCAGGGCCAGGCCCCUUCCCGGGGCGCCCACCGGGCCCCAUGGGCUGCCAGGCAGGGCGAGGGCAGUGCCAUGGGGCAGAGGCCGGGCUGGGCCACGGCUGCGAUUUCCGACAUCUCACUGUUUGUUAAACCCUGCGCCGCCGCCAGCCCGGGCCCAGCUGGGUGCGCCAGGCCCCAGGAGCAGCCCCGGGCCCCCGGGGCUGGCUCGGGAAAGAUUCUGCCGCCAUUGAGAUUGACCCGCAACCCCCGGGCAGGGGGACGAGAAGCCAUCGGCCCCGCUGUGCUGCUGCUGAGCUCUGGCCCGGCUGCUGAGACCCGGGCCCUGCCCCAGCCCAGCCCAGCCGCAGCUCCCAUCUGCAAGCACCGAGCUCGGCCAGGGCCAUGUUCCAGAGAAGGAGGAGGACCUGGACUGAAUUAAGGAACCCCUUGCCAAAAGCUGCUGCAUAUCCAGAAAGCUUUCCUGGUGUUCAAGGGGAGGAGAGACCCAGCUGAGGAAAAGAGCUCCACUGAGGAUUAGAAACAGAGAAAUGCCGGCAGGGACCCAAGAGAAGUCACAGCCCCAGGGCCCAUGGAUGUCCCAUGGGUCUAACUGAAGGUCAGACAGGAGAUAUCAGGGGUGCUUUCCCAGGAUUGAACCCUGCUCUGUUUCCUCCCACUACCUUUUCCUGUUUUGCUCUGGUCUGAAAGGAGGGAAAGCAUAUAAAUGCAUAAAACGCUCAGAGUUCGAGGGGUUUUCUCCUGAAAGCAGUGCAAUAGCUCUCAAAUGGCUUCUCAAACAGUAGCAAAGAAGAGAUGAUGUGCAUGUGGAGCUGUCCUGGAUGUGCCUCUGCCAUUGAUAACUGAUGAACACAGACAUUCCCUCAGCUCACCACUCAUGGGAAGAUGGUUGUGCUUCCAGGGAAGUCUCACCCCACUUCUCACAGUCAGAGACAAAUUGUUCUCUCUGUCUCUCUCAUAUUUAGAAGGAGCCGUGACAACUGCUUUAGACAGGAGAAUUAUUUUAGGCAAGGCCAGUCCUGUAAUCCUGAACCAAAAUUGAAGCUUUGAGAGGGAAAAAGAAAAUGAAGGAGGAAAGACAGAAGUGGGGAGGAGAAUGAAAAAGAAAAUUGGGGGGGGGGAAGAGAGAGAGGAGAAAGGAAAAACCCCAAAAAACAACAAACUCUCUCUUCUGCAUUGUCAGUGAUGUCUCUGUUGCCCAGAGACCAAUAGAGUCUGGUCUGCCAACAGAGGCCAAAUAAAUUAGAAAUUUUGAAUUAUGCAUUGAGUCUGUGAUAGAUGAUAUGUAUAAAUUUGUGCUGAGACUACAGUAAUCUCACCUGAUAAAAAUCCUAGCAUACCAAAAGAGAAUUCCAGGAAAUUCCCUCUGAUGAGAUUACAGCGAUAUGCACCAAAAUCCUAGUCUGAAUAUUCAUCUCCAGAAAUGUUGAUUCCAGAGGCUUAUUUGUCUGACCAAACCCCAGCAAUAUGCAUUCGAUAUGCAUCAUCAAUAAAAUAAAUACAUGUCUUCUAGAAUGUAUACUGCAGGAGAUUUUCGUCUAAAGUGAAUUUACCAGUUUUGGGAAACUCAGCAAGAGUGACAACAAGAAAAGAAAAACUACGUGAAUAUGCUAAAAGAAUAAGAUCAACUAUAAGAAAGCAAGAAACCCUCCCAACAACUCUUAGAGCUUAGAAAUGUAUAAAAAGACUUUGUAAGAGCUGUCUCUUUGUGAUGUACAGGGGAGAGAAGCCAAAGUGCACCAACCUGUCUCACCUGACUCUGUUAGCCUAGUUCAGCGUCAAUCUAAUCUUUGCUUGUGACCUUUUUAGGAUUGUAUUUUAAUUAUGGAAUAAAGUCUCCUUAUUAAAUCAA